rnacentral:rRNA from 1 species
UUUAACUGAAGAGUUUGAUCAUGGCUCAGAUUGAACGCUGGCGGCAGGCUUAACACAUGCAAGUCGAGCGGGGGAAGGUAGCUUGCUACUGGACCUAGCGGCGGACGGGUGAGUAAUGCUUAGGAAUCUGCCUAUUAGUGGGGGACAACAUCUCGAAAGGGAUGCUAAUACCGCAUACGUCCUACGGGAGAAAGCAGGGGAU